CAGCAGCCGCGGUAAUACGAAGGGUGCAAGCGUUACUCGGAAUUACUGGGCGUAAAGCGUGCGUAGGUGGUUGUUUAAGUCUGUUGUGAAAGCCCUGGGCUCAACCUGGGAAUUGCAGUGGAUACUGGGCGACUAGAGUGUGGUAGAGGGUAGUGGAAUUCCCGGUGUAGCAGUGAAAUGCGUAGAGAUCGGGAGGAACAUCCAUGGCGAAGGCAGCUACCUGGACCAACACUGACACUGAGGCACGAAGGCGUGGGGAGCAAACAGGAUUAGAUACCCCAGUAGUCCCUGUCUCUUAUAA
rnacentral:rRNA from 1 species